rnacentral:lncRNA from 13 species
AACUGUUCGUAAGACGCUUCUACAUCAUCUGCAAGGUGCUAAUGUUUUGGCAGCUGCAGAAGACAUAUUUACAGAAAGUCAUAGACGAAGCCUUAUAAGAAUAGUAACUUCUGAAUUAGUAAAAACACACAAAGUUAACUACUAUCCACCUGAAGAAGCCAAAGUAGCUCUUGCCGAAAGUAUUGUAACAGAAUUUCCAAAAUUACGUGACCCCGAAACAACUAAAGGAUAUGAACUUUACUAUGAUCCAUUUAGUAAAAGAGGUUUUAUUGAAUAUCGUCUUUGGACAAUUAGAAAAAAUAUUUUACCU